GUCGCAUUUGGGGUUCCGAAAAUCCACGAGUGAUCGUUCAGAAACAGAUGCAUCCAGAAAGAGUCACUGUUUGGUGUGCAUUGUGGGCUGGAGGCUUCAUCGGACCAUUUAUCUUCGAAAAUGAAGUUGGUCAAGCAGUAACCCAAAAUAUGGAUCUCAACAGCAUGUGCUUUCAACAGGACGGUGCAACACGCCAUACAGCCAGAGGAACUGUUGAAUUCCUGCACGAGUCAUUUCCUGGUCGUGUUAUUUCUCGUUUUGGAGAUCGGCAUUGGCCGUCCAGAUCAUGCGAUUUAACCCCUUUGGACUUUUUUAUUGGGCUUUUCUAAGGUCACAAGUUUAUGUGAACAAACCAACAACGUUUGAAGCCUUAAAAGAUAAAAUUCAAAGCUGUAUCUCUGAAAUACCGCAAAAUUUAUGCGGAACAGUCUUUGAGAAUUUGAUGAAAAGAGCACGUCUGUGCCAGCAAAGCCGAGACAGUCAUUUGUCCGAUGUCUUAUUCCCUUCAUAACCUCAUGAUGUGUGCUUCAUUUUUCAAUAAUUGUUUCAAACUUAUGCCACAACUAUAUAUGUUUUACUUAAAAUUCCAUUUAUUAUUAUAAAUUUCGAUGUAUGUAUAUGUGAAAUAUAACUAUUCAUUUCCAUAA